rnacentral:rRNA from 1 species
GGGAUUGCCUCAGUACCGGCGAGUGAAGCGGCAACAGCUCAAAUUUGAAAUCUGGCCCCCUCGGGGUCCGAGUUGUAAUUUGUAGAGGGUGCUUCGGCUUACGGCGCGGUCUAAGUUCCUUGGAACAGGACGUCACAGAGGGUGAGAAUCCCGUACGUGGCCGCGCUCUCCGCCAUGUGAAGCCCCUUCGACGAGUCGAGUUGUUUGGGAAUGCAGCUCUAAAUGGGAGGUAAAUUUCUUCUAAAGCUAAAUAUCAGCCAGAGACCGAUAGCGCACAAGUAGAGUGAUCGAAAGAUGAAAAGCACUUUGGAAAGAGAGUUAAAAAGUACGUGAAAUUGUUGAAAGGGAAGCGCUUGCGACCAGACUUGACCGCGGAUGCUCAGCCGGCCCUCCGGCCGGUGUAUUCUUCCGCGGUCAGGCCAGCAUCGGUUUGGGCGGCCGGAUAAAGGCCCCGGGAAUGUGGCUCCCCUCGGGGAGUGUUAUAGCCCAGGGUGCAAUGCGGCCCGCCCGGACCGAGGACCGCGCUUCGGCUAGGAUGCUGGCGUAAUGGUCGUAAGCGGCCCGUCUUGAAACACGGACCAAGGAGUCUAACAUCUAUGCGAGUGUUUGGGUGUCAAACCCGUGCGCGUAAUGAAAGUGAACGGAGGUGGGAACCCUUUGGGCGCACCAUCGACCGAUCCUGAUGUCUUCGGAUGGAUUUGAGUAAGAGCAUAGCUGUUGGGACCCGAAAGAUGGUGAACUAUGCGCGGAUAGGGUGAAGCCAGAGGAAACUCUGGUGGAGGCUCGCAGCGGUUCUGACGUGCAAAUCGAUCGUCAAAUCUACGCAUAGGGGCGAAAGA